rnacentral:tRNA from 1 species
CGUUUGUGGUGAAAUUGGUAAACACAGGAGACUUAAAAUCUCCCGCCUUUAGGUUUGUCGGUUCGAGUCCGACCAGACGCAC